CCCCCGGAUCUGGCCGGCGGCCGGCUUGGCCAGCCUCGAUGGCGGACGACGGGCUUCUCGGGAGGCGUUUCGGCAGAUCUGGUGCAGUUCGUUCAUCUCCCUUCCUCGGGCGUGUGGCUUGGCUCGCCGGCCUCUUGUCGGCGUUGCUACAUCGGUGGAUGCCGGGACGGCGGUUCCGGGUCGCGUCUUGGUUGUCGGGGCAGCCGAUCUGGCGUUUUGGAGCGCAGAUUUGUCUCGGUCAAGUAGAGUAAGGAUGUCGAGGCGGCGAUCUCGGAAGGGGGUGAAGGCGGUUGCUGCGCUGGGCGUAGUCGGGUCUUGGACG
rnacentral:lncRNA from 1 species